CCUACGGGCGGCUGCAGUGGGGAAUAUUGGACAAUGGGCGAAAGCCUGAUCCAGCCAUGCCGCGUGUGUGAAGAAGGCCUUCGGGUUGUAAAGCACUUUCAGUGGGGAAGAAAGCCUUGGGGCUAAUACCCUCGAGGAAGGACAUCACCCACAGAAGAAGCACCGGCUAACUCCGUGCCAGCAGCCGCGGUAAUACGGAGGGUGCGAGCGUUAAUCGGAAUUACUGGGCGUAAAGCGCGCGUAGGCGGUCUGAUAAGCCGGUUGUGAAAGCCCCGGGCUCAACCUGGGAACGGCAUCCGGAACUGGCAGGCUAGAGUGCAGGAGAGGAAGGUAGAAUUCCCGGUGUAGCGGUGAAAUGCGUAGAGAUCGGGAGGAAUACCAGUGGCGAAGGCGGCCUUCUGGACUGACACUGACGCUGAGGUGCGAAAGCGUGGGUAGCAAACAGGAUUAGAUACCCUAGUAGUC
rnacentral:rRNA from 1 species